rnacentral:rRNA from 1 species
AUUGAACGCUGGCGGUAUGCUUAACACAUGCAAGUCGAACGGUAACAGGCCUUCGGGCGCUGACGAGUGGCGGACGGGUGAGUAACGCGUAGGAAUCUGCCUUAUAGUGGGGGACAACGUGGGGAAACCCACGCUAAUACCGCAUACGCCCUACGGGGGAAAGCGGGGGAUCGUAAGACCUCGCGCUAUGAGAUGAGCCUGCGUUAGAUUAGCUAGUUGGUAGGGUAAAGGCCUACCAAGGCGACGAUCUAUAGCUGGUCUGAGAGGACGAUCAGCCACACUGGGACUGAGACACGGCCCAGACUCCUACGGGAGGCAGCAGUGGGGAAUAUUGGACAAUGGGCGCAAGCCUGAUCCAGCAAUACCGCGUGUGUGAAGAAGGCCUUAGGGUUGUAAAGCACUUUCAAUGGGGAGGAAAACCUGCCGGUCAAUACCCGGUAGCUUGACAUUACCCAUAGAAGAAGCACCGGCUAACUCCGUGCCAGCCGCCGCCGUAACAC